ensembl:lncRNA
AGAAGCUGUCCUGCUGCUGGAUUUUCCACACUUCAGCCCAUGCACUUUCCAUCUUCUUUUUCCCCUCUAUACAAGUGGAUUUCUCAUCCCUGCUCCAAGACUAAAGUGAUCCUCUGAGCCAGAGCCAUGUGCAAGAUCAGAAUGAAAGCUGAAGCCAGGAAACCUUCCUUGGGUUCAGGUUUCACGACAAGCCUGAAACUUGUUCCUGAGGGAGGUUUCCAUAUCUUUGGGGGUGGGGGAAGGCUUUCUGGAUUUUGAGUUGUUACAGGAUGCCCCAAAUAAGGGGGAAAAAAAGUUAACAAGCAGAAGAAAACACAGUUUUAAUAGAGAUGUUUGAUAUUUUUUGACUGGAAAAAAUUCCCUUUGAAAAACACAGCUGUUGGAAAUAAUUGUUGUCGCCCCCCCCCCCCCACAAUGUAGGGGAUUUUUUUUAACUAGCAUUUUGCAUUUUUUUAUAUACUUCUCAACGGAAACUCUUCUGCAGUAGAUAACUUUCUUUAAUCUCAGUUUUCAAGAAGAAAAGGCUCUCUCAGAAUCCCAGUUCAAAGAGAGCUCUACGAGCUGAAACAAAAUUUUUCAUUCUGCCUUGAAACAUCCAGCCAGAAGAAGUGUUUCAGAGAAGUACUUCCAUUCAGAAGUUCUGAACAGGAAAGAAAAUGGUUCCUGGCUAGCUCUGCUGACCUAGACACAGCUCUGUCCUCCUCUGUGUGGGCUCCUAGCCAUGGGGCUUUGAGGGGCAAGUUCCUGGGCAUGGCCCCUACCCAGGACAUCACCUCAAGCUCUCAUCAGUGCUCUCCCCAUUUCUGUAACAGAAUGCUGCCUGAAGAACAGCUGGAAAGCUCCAGGUCUCUCUGCAAGGCACAGAUAAUGAACUGCACUGCUGCAGAUGCCAGACGGGACAGUGGUGCAAGGUGUGGAAGUGUAACUGGACCACGAACUCUACGUUCUUAUUUUGGAGCUAGUGGAAUAGGACAGACCUACCAGUCCUGAGCUUCAAGCUGCUGGAAUCAAUACCUUGCUUGAAAGAUUUAACACUUAUUUCUACCAAGCCUGGAAUUGUCAGCUGAGAUUUUCUCUACAGGAUAUUCCACUGAUAUGGAUUCUCCCUUUAGUACAAACACUUCCUGUGACUGAUUCAAAAUGCAGAUCCAAACUUUGCAUCUGAG